UACGUAGGGUGCAAGCGUUGUCCGGAAUUAUUGGGCGUAAAGAGCUCGUAGGCGGCUUGUCGCGUCGGCUGUGAAAACCUGGGGCUCAACCCCGGGCCUGCAGCCGAUACGGGCAAGCUAGAAUUCGGUAGGGGAGACUGGAAUUCCUGGUGUAGCAGUGAAAUGCGUAGAGAUCAUGAGGAAGACCAGUGGCGAAGGCGGGUCUCUGGACAGUUCCUGACACUGAGACACGAAGGCCAGGGGAGCAAACGGG
rnacentral:rRNA from 1 species